CUGUCUCAAUAUUAGAUGGUCCCAUGUCCUUCAGAAUGCUCAGUGGAGGCUUAUCUGUAAAGACAUUAAACAAAGAAAAAUGACUGAAGGUGGAAGAAGUGCAAAUCCAGAGAUAACAUGAUCUCCAAAUGGCAAUAUAAAAAGUAUAUC